CUAUGCAUAGAUAAUAAACAGUGAGUAGCAGCAGUGUACAUGUAGGUAGGGGUGAAGUGACUAUACAUAGAUAAUAAACAGUGAGUAGCAGCAGUGUACAUGUAGGUAGGGGUGAAGUGACUAUACAUAGAUAAUAAACAGAGAGUAGCAGCAGUGUACAUGUAGGUAGGGGUGAAGUGACUAUACAUAGAUAAUAAACAGAGAGUAGCAGCAGUGUACAUGUAGGUAGGGGUGAAGUGACUAUGCAUAGAUAAUAAACAGAGAGUAGCAGCAGUGUACAUGUAGGUAGGGGUGAAGUGACUAUGGAUAGAUAAUAAACAGAGAGUAGCAGCAGUGUACAUGUAGGUAGGGGUGAAGUGACUAUACAUAGAUAAUAAACAGAGAGUAGCAGCAGUGUACAUGUAGGUGGGGGUGAAGUGACUAUACAUAGAUAAUAAACAGAGAGUAGCAGCAGUGUACAUGUAGGUGGGGGUGAAGUGACUAUGUAUAGAUAAUAAACAGAGAGUAGCAGCAGUGUACAUGUAGGUGGGGGUGAAGUGACUAUACAUAGAUAAUAAACAGAGAGUAGCA